UGGCGUUCUUCCCUGUUCCGGUUCGGUUUCUCCGUCCCGCAGACGCUCGAGCCGAUGCGGCGGAAAUCCCGCCUUCGCACUGCGUCGCACUCAGCUGUUUCAAAAUGCCACAUCCGCUUCCCGCGAGAGGGACCCUCAGUGGUCUUUUCAGAGGUAGUGUGGAUUUCCAAUCAAGGAGAAUAGCUUAAGGAGAAAGAAAAUUGAGGUUAUUCAGAUGAAGGUAUUUAAAAGUAGCUCAUUCAUAUAGCUGUGCUGGUUCAGAUUUGGUAACUCCUACUGAAACACAAUGAUGAAUAUGAUGAAUUAGUUCCUAAGCCGCCUUCCAUUUAUGUGAACAACCUAUAAUUCUACCUAAAAUAUAUAAAAAGGUAAACAUUUAAAAAUCUAACAUAGGUAAAAAGACAAAAUGAGAAAAAAAAAAUACCCUUGAGAGUGAUUUGGAAAUGCCAUCUAUCAUGAAUUGAAUGUUUGUGUCCCCAAAAUUUGUAUGUUGAGGCCCUAACCUCAAUGUGACUUUAUUUGGAGACAGGGCCUGUGAUAAAGGUUAAAUGAGAUCAUAAGGGUGGAAAUCUAAUCUACUAGGGCUAGUGCCCUUACAAGAAGAAGAAGAAACACCAUAGCUCUUUCCCUCCACUAUAUGAGGACAUAGCAAAAGGUGGCCACCUGUAAGCCAGGAGGAGAGCUCUCACCAGAAACCAAAUUGGCCAGCAACUUGAUCUUGGACUCCCCAGCCUCUAGAAGUAUGAGAAAUAAAUUUCCAUUGGUUAAGC